UACAGAGGGGGCAAGCGUUGUUCGGAAUUACUGGGCGUAAAGGGCGCGUAGGCGGCCCGCUAAGUCGAACGUGAAAUCCCCGAGCUCAACUCGGGAACUGCGUCCGAUACUGGCGGGCUUGAAUCCGGGAGAGGGAUGCGGAAUUCCAGGUGUAGCGGUGAAAUGCGUAGAUAUCUGGAGGAACACCGGUGGCGAAGGCGGCAUCCUGGACCAACACUGACGCUGAGUGAGCGAAAGCCAGGGGAGCAAACGGG
rnacentral:rRNA from 1 species